AAGGGGAAAUCCCUUUUAGUUUUGAGAUUAGGUUGCCAGGCUUUGAAAAGGGCUUAAAAACAAAGUCAUGCUCAGCCUUUUGUGCGAGAGAUCCAGAUGUUAUGUAGAUUUUUUUUGUUUGCAUGUUCAUUUUGAGCGGACCAGGCUGUGAGCGCUGCGUUUACGUGUGCAUGUAGCUGGACUUUGCCGUAGAUCGACGUUGCGCUUGUGGAAUGUCUGCUGAAGUAUUAGCUCGGUAAUGCCUUCUAAUGGUAGUGCUAAUUACGGUGGGGUUAUUUAGCAAAUUAAGUGAGCUGAUGCACCCCUCACCCUUGAGCACCAAAUGAACUUUUCCAAGCACACACUUACACAGAGAGACACGUUAAUUUUGGUGUGUUUCUCUCCCCCAAUCGUUUUGCCGGAGCUACCCCAGCCUUACCUCAGAGCAGUCAAUUACUAAAGCUGGCCAGGAUCAUCAAUCAUGGGGGAUGCUUGAAGUUUAGGGGAGGAGCGAUGGUCAAACUAUCGAUUGCUGCAGUUUUGUCCUCCCCAGCCCCCCACCCUCGUUCACGGUCCCCUGCACAUAAAAUCUAAACCAGACUAUCCCGUUAAUAGUGGGAUUUAUCAAUGAUUAUGUACCCGGUUAUGAAUGUGGCCUCAUACAUAGCUGGCUUUUAAAAUACACGGAAGAAAAAUAUUAUUUAUUCGGUUAGGUUUUGGUUUAUUUUGCUUUGAUUUUCGUGGUGAUGACGAUGAUUAUAUUUUUUUUUUUUUCCUGAAACUUUUAAGAAAAUUACUCAAGGGGUAGUUACAGAUAUUUGGCCUGAUUUUAAUAGGCGUAGGGAAUGAGCUCCAGAGGUCAAUAAACCCCUCCAAAAUGAUGAAUGAUUGAGUACCUGUGAUGAUGAUAGUGAUUACCGGAGCAAUUAAACAGUUUGAUUAAAUGAGCCAUCAUAACAAUGAUGUCUGCGGGAAAUCAGCCCUCACGUAUAAAGAAAGAUAGUGUGAAGCGCUGACAAACGCCAGUGGGCAUUCCUGCGUGUUCUGAUAGCGCCGAGCCCUGCAGAGCAGAGCAGGGCUGUAUUUACAAAUAUGGGGGCAAUACCAAGAAAAGUCCUACUUUUAGCCAGAAUUGCACCCUGCUUAAAACCAGCCAGGAGCUGGGGAGCAGACCCGGGUUUGGUUUUUUUUUUUUCCUUUUUUUUUUUUAAUAUCUUUUUUUCCAGAGGAUCUCCUCCGAGAUUAAAGCUAGUCCUAAGAGCAACCGAAUUGCUGUGACUGACUUUCAUGGGACUGUAAAGAGAGCUGCCUAUAAAACUCCAGAAGAGGAGAGCUCUCCUUUUUACGCAGGAAUUCUUGGUCCGGAGAGAACAAUAUCCUCCUACCUCCUUUUGAAAUGAUACGGAGACCCUCACAACACACGGGCGAGCACUCCAAGGAUAUGUGUGUUUAAAGAGAUGUUGAAGAGAUUUCUGAGUUCACAAGAAAGGAGAGGUCUGUUUGGGGAAUGACAGCGCACCCGGCAGGUAUUUUCAUGACCGUCCCUUCCUUUAAAUCCUUCGAAUUUCUUUGGUUCUUUCCAUGCAGAAUAUCUUCCCCAGACCAAGUAUGAUUUCUGUUGUAAUUCGUGUGUGUGUAUUUGUGAACCCUUCUGAGGUAAAUUGAGAAGUAAGCUGCGCAAAAGGAGGAAAUCGCCCCUGGGGUGCUUUGUUUACUUUGGUUUGUAAAAUCCUGCUAGGAGAUGGUUUCCUCAGUGUGUGGCAAGUGUUUCUUCAAGAAAUUCAUCAGCCCUUCUACAGUUACUUCGAGCUCUGAGGGAAGAGAGCUGCCAUCACUUUCUCACAUCCCAAGGUGUUGCAUGGAGGAGAGAAGAAAAGGCUGGAGCAUUUAAUUGGGGGGGGG